GAAUCAAAACAGACAUGUCAUUGAGAAGUCAGUUUUUAGCUCUGAGUUCUUCUUCCCUAAACCGCCUCCAAAAGCCAACUGCUGUGGGAGCACAGGUCCUAAAAAUGAACUCACUACGCAGAGGUACAACACGCAUAGUGCUCAAGAUCCGCAAACGGAGACAGAUAAAAGACCAGAAGCCCUGCCCUUGGGAAUGAGAACCUACGAGGAUAGAGCAAAGCCAUACGACCAGCACCAGCCCCACUGCCUAGUUUCUCCCCUUGUUCGGGGAAAGAAGGAGAUCACAAAUCUGAGAGAUCUCCCUGGAAUACGCAGUGAUGAACUGGAAACACCCAUGCACUGCAGUGACAGCCACAAAACUAAGCAGUACUACCUGCAAGUGCUAACAGGCUAUCAGACUGAGGGGACUGCGGAGGAAGGUCAGUCUGCGACUAGCAGUGUGAAAUAAGUAGGUAAGAAUGAGCAACAGCAUGAAAUACCCCACUCCUACUUAACCCUUACUGAUGACUUUCAUUUUCCUUUGCAUUAUGGCUGCAGAAAUGAACAUUUUAAUUUGUGUAUGGGUGGCUCUUUGCACUAUUUCAGACAUGCAGACUGCCAGCCCAAUGUGGAACCAUCUAUUGAGCAGUCAAAUCAUCGGAGCUGGCACCGUAAGAUGGAUACCAGCAAUAACAGCUCCAGAAGGCAGCAAGCAAUGGGAAAAAAAAGCACAGGCAAACAUUUACCACGAAGAAAAUCCACUGGCUUCCCCUCUGAUGUUCCAGGCAGCCCAGAGCACCAGAAUUUGGGUUCACUCAAAAACUCCUUCCAAGCAGGAGCACCCCCAGUCCCUGCAGCCUGACAACGGGCUGCCUUCUCAGAAAACCUGCUCUCACUGCCUGUGUCAUCACAGAGAAGCAACAACCUCAAUCUGACAUAUUUUAUCUUAAAACUGGGGCAGGCUAGCAGCUCACACAUUAACCACCGCUGAGCUAAACACAUCGACAGCGCUUUACUUUUCUGCCAUAAUGUGAUUGCCAACAGUUGCAUUCUUGGACUCUUAUUUUGCUCAAGCAUGUUCCUAAUUCAUGUAAAAUUAAUUAAAAAGGCAGGGGGAAAGGCCUGACAAAUAGGAGUGUGCCAAAAGCCACUCCCUCACCUACUUCAACUGCCAUUUUCAGACUACCUAGAAGAAAUCCAGGCUCCAACAGCAGAGAACGCCAUCCCUUGCACUGCAGAAGCAGCAUUAAUUCCAUUUUCUCACUUAACUCGGAGCUUAAAGUUGGAAAGAAAACUCAUUCCUAGAGAUUUUUCAGAUGAUCUUUUUCCAAUAAAAAUGGAAGUUUUUUCUAUGAACUGAACAGAGGCGAGUCUCACUAAGUGAAAAUAAAACUCUCAUACGCAGCACUCAUCUACCACCAAAAGAUCUUGAAUAUGACAAAUAACCAUUCACACACAUUUCUUUAAUGAAGAAACUUUCCAGGUUAUUAUUAUGCUAGGAAAUAUGCCUCAAACAAGAAACAUUCAUUAUCCAGGCUGGAUGCAGCUUUGAGCAGCCGGGUCCAGUGGGAGAUGUCCCUGCCUAUAGCAGAGGGGCUGGAAGUAGAUAAUCUUAAAGGUGCCUUCCAACCCAAACCACUCUAUGAUUCUAUGAUCUACAAAUCCAUGCACCAGGGCACUUCUAAGGUGAAAACAUCUAUUUUCUAUAUGCCUUUACCUUUCUCACAAACACUCCCCCCCAGAAUACAUCCAUGAGCUGGGUUCACUGCUGCCGAUACUGUAGUUUAAAUACGGUGUGUAUGUACAACUACACACAUAUACCCCCUGUGCCGACUCCCAAACUUCCUCCAACACCCAGUUUACUUAACACCGUUCUCAGCACUGAAUCCUCACCCUGCAAACACUUCUUCCACAGCAUAAAGCCCUGAAUGUGAAUACAGAAGUCAGAGAAACUGUUGAGAAGGAUCACCAAGUUUUAAUUAGCUUGCUUUUGUUUAUUUUUACAAAGCUCAUAACCAAAUUUGCUUUUGUCUUUUAACACAGAGGAAGAAAUAGGUUAGUAUUCAUUGUGGAUAAUGAUCUCAAAAAGCUCGGCUCAUGUUUCUGCACAAUGCUUCCAGAGGUACGCAGACAAAUUAUAGCAGCCAGUAUCAGUACCAUUCCACAAUGCCAUAUUUUGCAGAAGCUAUUUGUUCUUCUCUUUGUCCUCGACAAUGCUUUAAAUCAAUUGCUGAUUUGUCUGGAUAAUUAACAUCCCAAAUCCAAUUCUUCACAGAUGAAUUGGAGCGAGUUUGAGUAUCAGAGAAUGCAGCUAUUCAUCAGCAGACAGUUCUCACUCAGUGGGUGCACAAUGGCUUAAAUUUUACUGCACGCUGAAGAUGAUGCAAUUACCAAGCUUGAAAGGAAUGUAAUCUAUACCACCAAAGAAAACGUUCAUAGCAGUAUGAUCAGUGAAGGAUAAACAAGAAAGCAAUAUUUUACCAUUACAAGAAACAAAAGUACUGAUCUGCAAAACCCAAUUGCCUACAUGAUGCACCGCUAUGCUGAGAAACAGUAGGCAGUUAAACAGAAAACUCAUUAUGGAGAGAGAUGGAUUAAUGAAAAUGUGAAAGCUGGUACCCUUAGGUGGCUACUAUUAGUCCAUUCAUAUCAAUCUAAUUCUCACUGUUCUUAUUACAAGCAAACUGGUGGCAAGUUAUUUUUAACUCAUCUCUCCAAAAGAUGCACCUGAACUCUUCCUCCCUUUGGACUUCCCUAGUCAAAAUGCUGCCCAACAGCUCAGCAGAUCUGGCAGUGCAGGACUCAUUUUGGGCUACUACUGUGCACUUUGCAGCCAGCAGCCCUGUAACAACUUCUGAUGGCCCUCCUAGUGCUCUGCGUCCUGCCUCACAGCCAGCAACAGCGCUCACCUUCCAGAUCCCAGAACUUCAUCCCAGCCACGGUGUGCGUUCCUGCCUUCCCUCCAAGUACUCCCAAACGAUGAGCGAGUCCAGAGUUUAACUUCCCAGCAAGUGCAGACCAGAAAGCUCAUCUCCAGCCAAUCUCACCCAGAACACAAGGCAUAACACCUUUCCAGGAAAAUAAACUGCUGUGGCCAAGAGACAUGGGCAAUAGAAGUUUUUGUAGGAAGAAAAGAACUUACCGUUUUGGCUUGUUUUUUAAGGUAAAUUAACAUAGAUAGAAAAAAAAUAAGAGUAUCUUUAAGGCAGACAAGCCUUUCUUCAGGUUCCCUUCAUUGGCUCUGCCAAUGGAAAAACAUUUCAAUUUCUGCAGGUAUUCAGAUACUCCUUUUGUUGAAAGCAAAUUUCCUGUAUUUUAAGGAUGAUUAUACUUGCGGUAUUUCACAUGACCAAGCUUCUACUUUUUCAUCAGCUAUACAGGAUCAUUUGGAGCUACUUUACAUGUCGCCAUGGAUCUGUCCAUACCUUUCCAGUCAUUUUCCCACCAGCAGAUUGAACGUCUUUUUGCCUCACCACUGAAGCCACUGAUGCCAUGUUGAUAAACCAGUGACAUGUUCAACUUGUGUACCUGCUCCUCACCUUUCCUCCCCCUGCUUCCAUCAGCUGAGUGACCUGAAUGCCUCACAGGUGCCUGCAGGAGAUGGGCCAGGGCUGCCGCCACUGCGUUCAGGAGGAGACUCUUCAUUUGCACUGCAUGAUCUGAGAGCAUUUUGACCCAAACCACACAGUGCAUUACACUGCCUUCUAACCACAGCUUUCACUCCUUUUCUCUGGUUAAGGUUCAAACUAGCAGUAGAUGCACAGUCUGAGACUUGCACAUGCAAGUUAAGUGGCUUAGAAAUAAACCCACAUCACAUUAAUUCAACACAGAUUCCCAUACUAUUGGAGAGAACUCCUUAGUUCAUUUCCAUGUAGAAAGAUGAAGGAAAAACAGGAUUUACCCCACUUUGAAAUAUUCUCUUACUCUUUACUCAGCCUACCUCAGACAUAAAAAACAUUCAACCCAACUGCUGUACUUUGGGCACACAAGUGCAAGAAUAAAUCUGGAUGUAUUGCCUAGAUUAUUUCACUGUCAAAUGACUACUUCAGGGCUCCAGAUUGUCAGAUUGCAUUUCUACAUUUUAAAAUAAUAAUAGGAAAAGGUUAAUGAAACAUUUUCAUUGGAAAACUGCUCAGAACAGGCACGAGAGACUGCUGCUCCAAAAAUGCAUCGGUUGAAAUGAUUUAUUUUCAUAUAAAAGAGCAGUCCUUCAAAUCACACCUUCUAGAAACUCUGUUUCAAGAGCACUCAAGACACAGCUACACUUGAAUUUUGUGAACAUCUUGUCUUUCUCAGCUACAAAGGUGACACACCAUGUAAUCUAAUGUGAUUCCCCUGCCUUGGUCUAUCCAUGCAGAAGAUCGUCACCAAAUGAGAUCACUAUAAAGGCAGGAUAUACAGUAAAGCACGUGCUAUCUAUUUUUACCAUGAAGUUUUUUUGUUUUUUUUUUUUUUAAUUUUUAUUUUUUAUUAAAAAAAAAAAAAGCAAAAUCAAGCAUUAGGAGAAAACACACCAUUAAUGGGAGUGUUUGCCUGUUUUUUAUUGUUAUUUUCAAGUUACCUUCCUAAGUACAGGGAUGCUCGAGAGCUCCUCGGGCUUUGAACCUCCACCAUAGCAAUUUUUCAUUUCCCAUGAACACCGAUGAUAAUAAGUGUAGUUUGAGCAAUUUUCAACAGAGUGAAGCAAAAAAAGAACUCAUUCCAACAGACAGAUACUCAUGUCCCGUAGCAGACAAGAGAACUAAUUAUAAACAUGAAGCUCGGUGAUGAGAAAAAAAUUAAUUACUGAGAAUUACUUUCACUGAAUGCCAAUUUACUAAUUCUAGCACAAUAACCAAAGGCAUGAAACAAGCAUUUCCCAAACAGUCUCACCCUCUUGGAUGCACGGCCACUGCUGGAGCAGCAGAAGAGGUUUGGUGCCCCUGGCCCACCUGCAUUCACACUGCCCCAGCUGCAAGGAACCCAGCUGCAGGAUCUGACAGAAGACACAAAUAAUGACUGCAAAUAGCCCAGGUAGGGACCCAUUCCACUCCUCACCUGUUGCAAAGCAAAGCUAACACAAACACAAAAUACAAUCAGAAAGUCAAAAUCUGGUGUGAAUAUUAGAACAUAUUCCCCAGUACUCCACGACCAAACUAAAAACCACCAACUGUCAGGAAUAUAGGGUCAGGAAUAUAGGCUCCAGUCUCGGUCCUCCAUGACCUAAAUAUUCACUGAUUAGCACUUCUGUGCAUUUAACUCUUCAAGGGCCCAAUGCUGUAAGAACUGAGCCUCCAGCCUCUCCAUCCAGACUGCUGAAAGUGAACAAAGAGAACGAAAAUCUCCCCUUUAUAAGGGAGACUGACCAUCUCACAGGGGCAGGCUGUGAGCUCCAAGAGUCCCCUGCAUCUCAUACCAGCCUACAUGUUAGUAUGUCUAGUUCAUGGCAACUGCCGUUCACUCUGCUUCUCAUGCCAACAAUUCCAAAAAAGUACAGUUUCACAGACUAUAUUCAACACUGAACAGCAGAAAGGGUGAUGGAGCACUGGAACAGGCUGCCCAGAGAGGUUGCGCAGUCUCCUUCUCUGGAGAUACUCAAGACCCAUGUGGACACUUUCCUGUGCAACCUGCUGUAGGGAACUUCAGAGUUCAGCCAACUUUCUGAACCAGAGUUCAGUCCAACCUUCAGAGGUUGGACUUCGUGAUCUCCAGAGGUCCCUUCCAACCCCUGUGAUCCUACGAUUCUACGAAAACCUGUGGUAGAGGGCAGAACUUCACACAGGUGCUGGCAGUGGGACUAGAGAUGCAGUUUUAUACUAAACCUGAUGGAGUUCAUCCAUUGCGUGGGGAAGUAUAGUGAAAGAAGGCUGCACCCUGAUGGGAGCCAGCAAGAUGAGACCACAGCCCCCAGAAAGCAGAACUGAGCCAUUGUGCUUUGCCCACCUCUCUACAAUGCACAGCACGUCAGCAGUCUGCACCCAGCAGAGCCCAGUCGCAGCACAAAUCAGCUCUGCAAACAAAUCAACACAGAUUCAUCUUCUUGCCUUCUCAGACCAAAGUGUCAGUUGUUCAAAGAAAGCAACCCACAUUAAAACCAACCUGUCUUUGAUAAAACCAAA